AAGCUUUAGGAAAUUUUCCUCUAUUAGAUUUGCAAUCUAUUGUGCUAUUUACACUAUAAAGCU
rnacentral:tRNA from 1 species